CCGGCCGUUUAAGAAGAGCCUGCCACCUCUUUGUCUUCCGCCAUGAUUAUAAGUUUCCUGAGGCCUCCUCAGCCACGAUUCCUGUGCAGCCUGCAGAGCCUUUCAUAUAUAUAUAUUUUGAGACAGGGUCUCACUCUGUCACCCAGGCUGGAGUGCAGGGUUGUGAUCAUAGCUCACUGCAGCCUCAACCUCCUGGCCUCAAGCGAUCCUCCAGCCUUAGCCUCCGAAAGCAAUGGAAUUACAGGUGUGAGCCACCAUGCCCAGCUCUGGAACUCUUAAAAACUGAUGAGAAAAGGCAAGUUAAAAGGAAUUAGAGUUUGUCAAGCCUCUGAGCCCAAGCUAAGCCAUCAUAUCCCCUGUGACCUGCAGGUAUACAUUGAGAUGGCCUGAAGCAACUGAAGAACCACAAAAGAAGUGAAAAUAGCCAAUUCCUGCCUUUACUGAUGACAUUCCACCAUCAUGAUUUGUUCCUGCCCCACCCUAAUUAACCAGUUGACCUUGUGACAUUCCUUCUCCUGGACAGUGAAUCUCAGGAGCUCCCCACUGAGCACCUUAUGACCUGCCCCUGCCUGCAAGAGAAAAAACCCCUUUAACUGUCAUUUUCCACUACCUACCCAAAUCCUAUAAAACUGCCCCACCCCUCUCUCCCUUUGCUGACUCCCUUUUCGGACUUGGUCUGCCUCCACCCAGGUGAUUAAAAAGCUUUAUUGUUCACACAAA
rnacentral:lncRNA from 1 species